rnacentral:rRNA from 1 species
GACGAACGCUGGCGGCGUGCUUAACACAUGCAAGUCGAACGGAAAGGCCCUGCUUUUGUGGGGUGCUCGAGUGGCGAACGGGUGAGUAACACGUGAGUAACCUGCCCUUGACUUUGGGAUAACUUCAGGAAACUGGGGCUAAUACCGGAUAGGAGCUCCUGCUGCAUGGUGGGGGUUGGAAAGUUUCGGCGGUUGGGGAUGGACUCGCGGCUUAUCAGCUUGUUGGUGGGGUAGUGGCUUACCAAGGCUUUAACGGGUAGCCGGCCUGAGAGGGUGACCGGCCACAUUGGGACUGGGAUACGGCCCAGACUCCUACGGGAGGCAGCAGUGGGGAAUAUUGCACAAUGGGCGGAAGCCUGAUGCAGCAACGCCGCGUGCGGGAUGACGGCCUUCGGGUUGUAAACCGCUUUCGCCUGUGACGAAGCGUGAGUGACGGUAAUGGGUAAAGAAGCACCGGCUAACUACGUG